ACGAAAGAAAGUUCUCGUGCGUUUUUCAUUAAUUUAGUAACUCGUUGAUUGUAAAAUAUUCAUAGUCAUUUACCAGUCGAAGACGAAGCUUGCCAAGAUUCAAGAAAUUUGCAUGUAGUUUUACUGUGAGUUUGGAGUAAACUCAAUUUUGAGGGUCGCUGUUCUCCUGAAAGUCUACAAACAGUACGGAAAUGCAAGACAACCAGCCUUCCAGCAUAUUAAAGCUAAUUAAGAAUGCACAAAGCAAAGAAAUGUGCAUGUAGUUCGCGAAUGUCAAGAAAUAAGAUCAAUUCAUGGUCGGUAAGUUUUAAGCAAUGUUUUUCAUUGAUUUUUAGUACUUUGUGGUUUCAUAUUGACGUAUUUGUUUGCUCUG